AAGCUUUUACUGCUUGGCCUGUAAAAAGAAAACAGCACGAACCAGCAGAGAAGCUGACAAGUGACACGAAUACAGUACAUGCUAAUGUGCAGAGAGAAACAGCCUUGAGGAUUUAAACUGGCUGCACCAGAAAAAAAUAUCUUUACCCAGAUAUGUGGUCCCUCAUGAAUUAUACUAUUAUUUUAGUUGAUUUUACCUGACAUCACCCUAUGAUUUUCUUCAGUGACAAGAAAAUUGCAGCCGGCCCUUGACAGUCGGUCACAAAUUGACUGAACAAAACAAAAUCAAACAGUGAAGUAAUCCCCAAGUAAAUUUAAUGAAACCUAAAUCCCAAAGGGCAGCACACUUCUGUAGGCAAUGGUCUUAUUUAAUAAAUUUCCCCCUGCUUUCACUUUUAGAGCUAUAUUUACACAGACAAAUUUAAUUCAUUGGGUUUACAUUUCCUCCUUCCCUUAGUUUGUCCACCAGGCACAUAUGGGAGGGACUGUAAACAGGUAUGUCAGUGCCCAGCAGAGAAUGAGGAGUGUCACCCAGUCACCCGGAGAUGUACCUGUCUGCCUGGCUACCAUGGAAACCGCUGUCAUCUCUGUAUCAUCAUGGUAGGUCAUACAUCCAUGGAUAUGACAGUAGAAAACUGAGAAGAUGCUUCCUCUAUGCUUGCUGCCAUUUUGAAUACUUACUGGCAUUAAACCGAGAUCAAUCCAGGAUGCCCAAAUGUCACUUAUGGUCCAUAUUGCCAAAGGAAGUGUAAGUGCCUGAAUGGUGGCAGCUGUGACACUGUGACUGGCACCUGUGACUGCCCUCCUGGCUUCAUAGGGGCCGACUGCAGUCAAAUUUGUCCUGAAGAUUACUAUGGACAGGCCUGUGUCCAGCGGUGUUCCUGUGGCUCAGGACAGUGUGACCCAGUGACUGGAGGGUGCCAGUGUCCACCUGGCCAAAUGGGAGCCAGGUGUCAGCCAGGAUGCCCCCAGUUGUAAGUUAAAAUGUACUUGUAAAACUGGUGGCCUUUGCAAUCCUGUGGAUGGAAGCUGCCACUGUGCCCCUGGAUGGACAGGAGAUGAUUGUGACAAAGCAUGCCUUCCUGGAUUUUAUGGUUUGAACUGUGCUCACAUCUGAGACUGCAAAAAUGGAGCCAAUUGUGAUGCAGCAAGUGGACAGUGCAUUUGCCUAGCUGGUUUCCAUGGCAGCCAAUGUGAAAAAGAAUGCAGGUCAGGCCAGGAUGGCCCUAACUGCUCUUUGAAGUGCCAGUGUGUCCACAUAGCUGGCUGUAACCCCCUCAGCGAGAUCUGCACUUGCCCUGCGAGGAGAGUGGGACCAACCUGUGCAGAGGAUGGUUUGGACAACCCUCAAUAACCAAAUACUAACAGCUUUUCAGUGGAUGAAUAGAAUGUUGCUGAGGUUCACCCACGGUUCAUCAUCUUAACUUUGGCAGAGAAAUGUACUUACUCAACCAUCUUCGGCCCAACCUCGCCUGUUGUGAGGUGAAAAACAGGACGUCUCAACUUUAUGGCCUCCAAGCAUACGUUCCAUUCUCUAGCCUACCCUUCCCAACUUCCUUUUGCUGAAGAACAUGCCCGAGAAAAAGAGAAUGUUUUUUCAAGAUCCCAAUUGUAGUAACAUUUUGGACUAAUAAAUGAAACUCCUUUUUUAUAUGCACAGGCGGUAUUUAAAUUUGGAAGUAAGAACUGCUUUUCAGUUCAGGUUGGACUACACUGAAAUAUUCACACCUAUUCACUGAAGACCUCAGUGGCCAUUAAGUAGCUGGAUCCUCUUUAGAAAUGUCUAGAAUUUCAUCUAUUUAUUCUCAGUAUCCUGCUUCACAGCUCAGUCAGCUUCAGAUUGUUAAGGUAUUGUAUUUCAAACACGGCUUUUGGUGUGGGAGACCAUUAAGACAUUAGCCGCAUAAAGAUCAGGGUGAAAGCAUGACGUCCACACUUACAAUGAAUCAUCAAAGUGUUUAGUGUGUUCUCCCCUUCACUGGUCAGUGGACAGGAAGGAAAAGUGAGUAGAAGUGAUCAAGACAAGUGCUUAGCCUGCUCUGGGGGACACAGAUUCCCCGUAGAGUAGGGCCUGACUGGAAUCAGGUUUUUAAUCCACAUUGUAGUCUUGACUCACAUGGCUCAUCCUUUGGGUCAGUUCUAUAGCCAUUUGUAAGCAUGAGUCCUUUGAUAAGCCCCAGAAAGAUACAGCAAUAAAUAUCAUCGUGUUUUUGCUCUCAACUAGUUGAUCAGUAUUUAACAUUUCAUAUGACAGGUUAAUUCACAUGAAAGAAGAAUAAUUUUCUUGAUUGGAAAUGUUGUUACUCAUGUUAUCCAUCCUUUGGGGGAUAAAAAUAGAGAAUACUGAAAUUAUCUGACUAGAUAUUUGACUUAUGCAUAAUGUCUAGUGUAACUUUCAAAGCAAAACUGAAGAUUGUUUUUCAGAUUCUUUUCCAUUACAGCUCAU